UACAGAGGGGGCAAGCGUUGUUCGGAAUUACUGGGCGUAAGGGGCGCGUAGGCGGCCUUCUAAGUCGAACGUGAAAUCCCUGGGCUCAACCCAGGAACUGCGUCCGAUACUGGAAGGCUUGAAUCCGGGAGAGGGAUGCGGAAUUCCAGGUGUAGCGGUGAAAUGCGUAGAUAUCUGGAGGAACACCGGUGGCGAAGGCGGCAUCCUGGACCGGUAUUGACGCUGAGGCGCGAAAGCUAGGGUAGCAAACGGG
rnacentral:rRNA from 1 species